ACUUGCUGGGCAGUCUGCAGCUCCAAAACAUGCAUCUUCAUCCUACACAUUAUUGCUACUGCUGACAAUUUCAAAACCCGAAAAGCUUAAUAAUACUUUCGAUUUUUCAACACAAACAUUAAUAAGAAUGCUACUACGAGUAAGUGCAAGCAUUGUGUCCUUGAGAAUCAAACGCCAGUAAUGACCUGAACACUUACAUUACAACAUACUUUAACUAAAUCAUUUGUUCUGUCUGUUCAUAGUGGACUGUUACGACGUAUUAGGGGACGCCGGGGCUGAAAGUUCCCGGGGCACGUUGUUCCGACAGUAAUAACUUUGUAAAGAAAAGAGAUAGCAAUACACGUGAAGUGCGUCAUUGAAGCAACAGGAGACGCGCCACGCUGGCCGCCAUCUUAGUUGCUUCGACGGCGGCGGACGAGUGGCUGUGUGCACCGCGUAGGGAUUGCAAUCCGGUCCGGCGGAUCCGGUAAUCCGGCGGAUCCGGCGUGUUUUUGGACCUACCGGAUCCGGUGAGUCGGCGCCGGAUCCGGUGGCGGAUCCGGUAAAGCAAAAAAUACGCGUAUGAAGUAGAAGGAGUAAAAGGAAAACACAUUUCGCUGAUCUACAGUUACUUGAUGGCGAUUAGGCCAACCAGUGUUGAGGCAGAAAGGGCCUUUUCUGCCGCAGGUUAUAUUUGUAGUGCCAUCAGAAGCAGACUAAGAGACAGUACAAUAAACACUAUUUGUUUUCUUAGAUCGUUUUUUCAGGCACAGAAAUAAUUUUCAUUUGAAUUUUGCAUUGCAAAAAAUAAAUGCUUCUUGUUUUGUUUCUUAUGAUUAUGAACUGAAGUUGUUGAUUUUAUAAGUACAAAUUUAAAAGACUGUUUUGUUAUAUAACUGUGUAGAUUAUUAAUAAGAGUUUAAUAGUAUUAUUAUUACUUAAGUACUUUCAGAUACUUACAUAAAUAGGUACAGCAAUAAGUGAGAGUCAGACUGAUUACUUUAUUAUUAAAAAUAGUUUCAUAAUUUGAUUUAGUACAAAUAGUACUAAAAAUUACAAUUAAUAACAAAAAAUAUAAUUAAAAGUGAUUUUAUUUUCCAUAAAUACGUAUUUUAUUUUCUUUAUAUACAUUAUUAUCAAAACUAAAAACCACUAAAUACUAGGCCCUAAGUAACUUUAAAUUCCGGCCGGAUCCGGACGGAUCCGGCCGGAUUAGCAUCAAUCCGGUGAAAUCCGGCCGGAUUGAAAAUGAUACCGGAUUGCAAUCCCUAGCACCGCGCUAUUAGAACACCACGAUGGUACGUGCCUACAAACGGAAAACUGAGAGAGGGAAAACAUCUGAAACGUUAUUACGCCAAGCUGCCAAUGCUGUCAUACAAGAUGGAAGAAAAGUAAAAACGGUAGCCAGAGAAUUAGAAAUUUGUAAAAAAGAUUUAUAUAUAUAAUAUAUACUAAAUAAAUGUAACUAUUGAAA